GNAUACCGCGGUGUGCACGGAGUAGCGUGUUCUUAGAGGACCGCAAUUCACAGGAUAGCCAUUGAGGUUCUUCCUCUUGCAGACUUACGAUCCGAAAAACCUUAUACUCACGCGGGUUGUGCGUCAGGGUUCCCCAUUGGCAAAAUUCCCACUGCUGCCUCCGUAGGAGUCUGGACCGUGUCUCAGUUCAGUGUGGNUGAUCAUUCUCUCAAACCAGCUAUCCAUCGUAGCCUUGGUAGGCAUUACCCUCCAACUAGCUAAUGGACCGCGGACUCAUCUGAUAACAAUAGCUUUCAAGAAGAGGCCAUCUUUUCCCGCUGCCUCCGAAAAGGCUGNGGCUUAUCCGGUAUAACACCUCUUCGUGGAUUAUCCAGAUAUAAGCAGAUAUCACGUGUACUCACCGGCCCACUUAUAAGACCAAUCCUUUCGUCAUUGAUGGUANGACCCGCANGUCGUUGANCAGAUAACUUANGCAAUCGUAACCUGAGAUAGNCUUAGNAGGUAUNUANUGCGAUAUG
rnacentral:rRNA from 1 species